CUUCAGUGAUGAUACGAUGACGAGUCGGAACGGGACACUAGCGGUCUCUUUGGAUUCUGGGUUAGUGGUCACGUUCUGUGACCCUAGUCCAGUUCCUCUGAGCCGUGUGUUCCUUUCAGUUGAAGACAUCGAGGCAUUUGUCUGAGAAGG